GUGAAUCAUCAAAUCUUUGAACGCAAAUUGCGCUUCCUAGCAUCCCGGGGAGUAUGCCUGUUUCAGGGUCAGUAUUAACAACAAAAUCGGUUUUGUUGCAAAUUGUGCCGUUGCCGGAGGUUGGUCUUUCUUCACUUUUUUGGUUAAGGGGCUUAAAAUUGACCUUUUUUGCGUGUUUUUAGACGUACAUAAAUUUUUUUUUAUUCGUCUAUUCUUAUUUCCAAUAUCU
rnacentral:misc_RNA from 1 species